rnacentral:tRNA from 1 species
GACCCCAUCGUCUAGAGGUUAGGACACCACCCUUUCAAGGUGGAGACACGGGUUCGAUCCCCGUUGGGGUCACCA